rnacentral:misc_RNA from 1 species
UCCGGUUUGUCACCGGCAGUCCCAUUAGAGUCCCCAGCAUAACCUGAUGGCAACUAAUGGUAGGGGUUGCGCUCGUUGCAGGACUUAACCUAACACCUCACGGCACGAGCUGACGACAGCCAUGCAGCACCUAGUUUCGUGUCCUUGCGGACUGACCCUUUUCGGGAUCAUUCACUAACUUUCAAGCCCAGGUAAGGUUCCUCGCGUAUCAUCGAAUUAAACCACAUGCUCCUCCGCUUGUGCGGGCCCCCGUCAAUUCCUUUGAGUUUCAAUCUUGCGAUCGUAUUCCCCAGGUGGAUUACUUAAUGCUUUCGCUUAGACGCUGACAGUGUAUCGCCAACAUCGAGUAAUCAUCGUUUAGGGCGUGGACUAC